rnacentral:antisense_RNA from 1 species
UUGGAAUAAUGUCACCAAUAGCAUAAGAAUUAAUGUCUACUAUGUUGCUGAAAUAAAUAAACUGGUAAAACUACUCUGCUGUCUAAAUCCCCAAGUUACAAAUUUACAGAGCUGCUGGCUUCCCCUUGAAGGAAUAGGAGUAGACCUGCUAAACUAUCACAUGAGAGAAGAGGCCCAAAAGCUUGCAUACUGCAGUCAAGCUGGCCUUUAAAGAGAUGGACCUAGAAGAUGCUGAGCCAGAUGUACUCAGUUACUUCUCCCAAAUUCAUCAAUUAGGAAUACAACAUGUUUAAGACCACAGGACAUCUGCAUAGGCUGUAAAUUUCGUUAAAUGAUGGAUGCAAAGAUGGAAGACAGAUGGAGAGAGGAAAAGACAGAAUCAGAUACUGGAUGAGUUAGUACUGCUGCCUGUGCUUCAGAGCUGUCUUGUUACCACAAGGCCGGCAAGCAUCAAUGUCCCCACAUCCCCCUCUGCCUCCCCCUGAAAUGUACCGAUUUAUAUGAAAAUUAAGAUUACAAAUUAAAGCCUGGCUAUCCUGGAGUUUUCCAGUUCAUCAGCCAUCCAAUAAAAAUGAUGUCAAGCCUGUAUGCAUAAUUCCCAGAAGAUUACUUUCGUCCUUACAGCUAAGCCCUGUCCCUGAUAUGAAAGAUCUCUAUCCACUUUUAUUGAAAUAAAGAACUAACAUCAUAAUCCC